rnacentral:misc_RNA from 1 species
GAUGAAGAACGUAGCGAAAUGCGAUAAGUAAUGUGAAUUGCAGAAUUCAGUGAAUCAUCGAAUCUUUGAACGCACAUUGCGCCCCCUGGUAUUCCGGGGGGCAUGCCUGUUCGAGCGUCAUUUCAACCCUCAAGCCCCCGGGCUUGGUGUUGGGGAUCGGCGUGCCCUCGCGGCGCGCCGUCCCCUAAAUCUAGUGGCGGUCUCGCUGUAGCUUCCUCUGCGUAGUAGCAACACUCGCACUGGAUCGCAGCGCGGCCACGCCGUUAAACCCCCCACUUCUGAAAGUUUGACCUCGGAUCAGGUAGGAAUACCCGCUGAACUUAAGCAUAUCAAUAAGCGGAGGA